GUUGAAUUAGGUGCAAGAUGAGAAAGCAUGGACCUCAAAGUUUGUUUGUAGGUCUUAUUUGUAUAAAUGUGUCUAUGUACUAUGGGAACUUAUAUAGAAUAACAUCUGAUGAUGCUAUGAUGGCUUCUAUGCAGCUAUGGUUGUAGACACUUCAGAGAGAAGUUGUAGAUUUAGUAUUAAUCAGAUUUAUAAAGACAAAAGUAGCACGAAUUUAUUUCUUACAGGUAAGAGAUAAUCUUGUUCCCAAAAGGCAGGUCUGGCCCCAGUUGGACACCAUCAGUAAGGGUAAACAGACCCUAGCCAGAGAUCCCUGGGACAUCAGCACAGUGGGGAUGCAAAAGGCCAUAAUUUUCUCUCUCUCUCUCUCUCUCUCUACCAGGGAUUGAACUCAGGACCUUGUGCUUGCUAGGCAGGUGGUGGAACCACUGAGCUAAAUGGCCCUCAAAAGGCCAUGAUUCUGAGCCCGGGAAUUGGCCCAGUGGUGAGCAGUAAAGAGAAGGCCUCUCUAAGGCUUGUUGAGAAUUGAAGCCCACUGGGAGGGCAGAGAGUCACCUCAAUAAAGGUGCAGCAGACUGCAGUGAUUGAGAACCUCCUCAUAUUUCCUGUGGUAGAUUACCUUAUUGUUCAUCAAAUAUUCACUCCCUUGGUCCAUGGGUAAAUAUGGCUCCCGCUCCACUCUUCUCUACUUGUUCACGUGACCUACUCCAGUCCAUGAGAUGUUGGCAUGUUGCAUAUAGCAUGUGGCAUGUGGAAGCAAGUUAUCUACUGAGUUCUUCACCCAUCUAGUUCUUGGGGAUAAAGACCUGCCUUAGCCCUCAAAGAACGCUCAGUAUUUCAGUGAAAUUGUGUACAGAAAUGUCCGCCAUCAUACUGAAUGCCAGCAGAGUGCAGCUUGGGAGGACACAGACCAUGACUCAGAAUCUUGGUGAGGAUCUUGGUUUCCUGGAAUUUGAAGAUGUGUGGAUGUGUCUCUCCUCUUGCCUAAAACACCUGCGACAAAUCACCUUUGGAUUCUUCCUGUUUUCCUCCAGGGACAAACAGCCUGUUAAUUACAAAGCUCUACCAUAUGAAUUUGUCCUGGCUUACUUUUCAUUGUGUGAAGUAUGAGUAAAAUAUCACAUAAGUCUCUGACAUAGUAGAUUUAGUUAAGGGUACAGCUAUUCUAUUAUUUUUAAAACCAUUUAUUUGGGUAAUGCAAUAGUCUUAUUGCUUCUUCAACAGUGUGUCAUAUAGCCAUUCCAACCAAAGUUUGUGAAUCACUAUGAUUUCAUUAAGUCUGAAGAGGAGGAAUGACUGACUGGUGGUGUGAAGAAAUGCCAGAAAAAUCACAAAACACACAGUUCUGUUUUAACAUUUAUGAGUCUUACACAUACAAAAUUGCUUCAGAGGGAGGGAAGGAUUAAGGUAGGAAGAAAAGGAGAGAAGGGGGAGGGAGGGGAGAGGGAGAAAGGGAGAGAGGGAGAGAGAUUUUAUAGUAUUAUAGAAGGAUCAGUGAUAUUUCAGGCUGUUCUGAAGAGUCUAUUUAGAGUUAUCUCUUUAUAAGACUAAGACAUGUGAAACAAGUACACUGUAUGACUUUGUCCACUGUGAUUUUUCCCACUUCAUUUCAAUUGUCUAGACAGCAUAGGGUUAAUUGGCAUUAAGCUCUCACUUUACAAGAACAUUUAGCCAAGGGAAGGUUGGCAGCUUGAAAGCUUCCUUUAACACAUAUGAGGAGUCAAGUUUGCUGUUCUGAGAAAGCUAAAAUGUUAAGAAUUCUGGAUUUGCUUGGGAAAUGAAAAUUUAGCAAUGAUGUUGUCAGAAGCAGUGGUAAACUCUUGACAAUACAUUUUGUGGAGAGGAAAAAAUGCAGCAUCAUGAGAUAGCUUCUAGUGCAGGAGUUGUUAGGAGCAGAAUUCUCUUAUGAAGUUGGCUGUAGGAAGUCAUGGCAUAGUUAAAUUUCAGCUGAAUUUAAUUUUUUACUUAAAUCACAUUAUUUGAUUUCAAUUCUGUUACAUAAUUUAAUGCAAAUUAUGCAGAAUAAUACCUUAAGUAAACUACUAAUAGUCUAGGUUUAAUGUCAAGACUCCAGGCUCAAUAUCUGGGAUACUUACUUUCAUCUAAAAUAUAUGCACUUGCAUUGCAAUACAUAUCGUGAAAGGAAACAAAUGAUUGGUUGAGAAAGUAACAAAAUUGAAACUCAGUGCAAGAAGUCAUGGAAGUCUCUAGUCUUGCAAGUGUUCCUUGAAAUGUGAUAAGACGGAAGAAAUAAAACAAGGGUAUCUGUUACCUUCUGAUUUAUUUGAAAUUUAGCUGAUUUGGUAGCAUGAUCCAACCCUUCCCUUUCUACAUUUUUCCACAAAUUUUUUCUGUGCUAAAUAAAAGGGAAUCAUGGCUGUGUGUGUGUGUGGGGGGGGGUGUAAUAGAAGAUGGCAAUUCAAGAGGGUUUUUCUUUUCUGUCUUUUAGUUAUUUUGCAGAUCAUGCUAGAUAUUAAGUGCUGAUAUACCGAUCUCAUUUACAACUGAUGUAGAGCUCUUUGGAAUGCUCAUACGAACAAUGAAACACACCUUUCUGGUCACUCAACUUGUUAUUCUAAAAAAUAAGUAUCCCAGAUAAACUCACACACAAUCAUAAUUGUAGACAACAGCUUUCAGCAAUCACUCUAAUAUAUAAAGCAGAUGCUUUACCUGGAAUAUAUAUAUUUCAUAUGAAGAGAACACGUUAAUUGCUGCAAAAUUUUACAAUGAAGAAUUAAAGUUGGAUUGAUGAUUUGAUUUUUGUCAGAUUUUAACAAAAAUCUUGCACAUGACUCAAGACUUUGGAGGAGAAGUGGAGUUUGGAUUAAAUCCAGGCAAAGAUUUAGACAUGCUAUCAUUUUGCCACUGGAUUAUCUUGACUUUUGGAAUGUGAUAUGUGAUGUCCAUAACUGAGAAAAGAAGCUAAAAAAUAAUUAACCCCAGUUUGAAAGUGGACAAAUGGUUAUGCUGACUGACACUUUGUCACUACUGUGGGAGGCCUUGAUUAGAAGCAAGUAGCUGCUUAGAUUUCUCUCUCUCAGCUUUUUGUCCAGGUGUUCUGCUUCCCCCUUUCCUAAGCUCUACGAUGAGCUUCUCUUGGAGACUUUGCCUCUUUCCAGCACUUUUCAGAUGGAGCUGGCCCUUUUCAUUUCAUCCUCCAACCUUGCUUCCAUCCUUUCCUUAGCUCGCGCCGCUCAUCUUCCUGUGCGGAUGCAGAGUGUGUCCACGACACAGCCAAUGACCUCAGUCAGCUUGCGUCAGACUCGUGUGCUUUGGAGAGAGAACGUAUCAUUAGCAUUCCUUUUUGGGGGGAUGGAUUUUUACUUUUUUAUUGUAUGAAGAAACAAGACAAAGCUUCGUAACCAAAUAAUAAGAGAAUAACACAGUUAUUAUACAAUGUGUUGUUAUCUUGAAAGUAGUUAUUCAGAGGACAGCAUAAACCCAAAAGAUUCUUACAAAAAAGAAGCAAACAGAUAAUAACACGAA
ensembl:lincRNA